AGAGUUUGAUCCUGGCUCAGAUUGAACGCUGGCGGCAUGCCUUACACAUGCAAGUCGAACGGCAGCACGAGAGCUUGCUCUUGGUGGCGAGUGGCGAACGGGUGAGUAAUAUAUCGGAACGUACCCUAGAGUGGGGGAUAACGUAGCGAAAGUUACGCUAAUACCGCAUACGAUCUACGGAUGAAAGUGGGGGAUCGCAAGACCUCAUGCUCAUGGAGCGGCCGAUAUCUGAUUAGCUAGUUGGUGGGGUAAAAGCUCACCAAGGCGACGAUCAGUAGCUGGUCUGAGAGGACGACCAGCCACACUGGAACUGAGACACGGUCCAGACUCCUACGGGAGGCAGCAGUGGGGAAUUUUGGACAAUGGGCGCAAGCCUGAUCCAGCAAUGCCGCGUGAGUGAAGAAGGCCUUCGGGUUGUAAAGCUCUUUUGUCAGGGAAGAAACGGUGGACUCUAAUACAGAUCACUAAUGACGGUACCUGAAGAAUAAGCACCGGCUAACUACGUGCCAGCAGCCGCGGUAAUACGUAGGGUGCAAGCGUUAAUCGGAAUUACUGGGCGUAAAGCGUGCGCAGGCGGUUGUGCAAGACAGAUGUGAAAUCCCCGGGCUCAACCUGGGAAUUGCAUUUGUGACUGCACGGCUAGAGUGUGUCAGAGGGGGGUAGAAUUCCACGUGUAGCAGUGAAAUGCGUAGAGAUGUGGAGGAAUACCGAUGGCGAAGGCAGCCCCCUGGGAUAACACUGACGCUCAUGCACGAAAGCGUGGGGAGCAAACAGGAUUAGAUACCCUGGUAGUCCACGCCCUAAACGAUGUCUACUAGUUGUCGGGUCUUAAUUGACUUGGUAACGCAGCUAACGCGUGAAGUAGACCGCCUGGGGAGUACGGUCGCAAGAUUAAAACUCAAAGGAAUUGACGGGGACCCGCACAAGCGGUGGAUGAUGUGGAUUAAUUCGAUGCAACGCGAAAAACCUUACCUACCCUUGACAUGUCUGGAAUCCUUGAGAGAUCAGGGAGUGCUCGAAAGAGAAUCAGAACACAGGUGCUGCAUGGCUGUCGUCAGCCCGUGUCGUGAGAUGUUGGGUUAAGUCCCGCAACGAGCGCAACCCUUGUCAUUAGUUGCUACGAAAGGGCACUCUAAUGAGACUGCCGGUGACAAACCGGAGGAAGGUGGGGAUGACGUCAAGUCCUCAUGGCCCUUAUGGGUAGGGCUUCACACGUCAUACAAUGGUACAUACAGAGGGCCGCCAACCCGCGAGGGGGAGCUAAUCCCAGAAAGUGUAUCGUAGUCCGGAUUGUAGUCUGCAACUCGACUACAUGAAGUUGGAAUCGCUAGUAAUCGCGGAUCAGCAUGUCGCGGUGAAUACGUUCCCGGGCCUUGUACACACCGCCCGUCACACCAUGGGAGCGGGUUUCACCAGAAGUGGGUAGCCUAACCGCAAGGAGGGCGCUCACCACGGUGGGAUUCGUGACUGGGGUGAAGUCGUAACAAGGUA
rnacentral:rRNA from 1 species